AAAUGCCCAAGGCCUAUUUAUUUUUUGGGGUGGUAUGUGUCUGAGUAUUCAUAUUUUUAUUAUUUUGACUUGGCAUAAAACAGCUUAUUUCAAGAACUCAUUUUCCUUCUUCAAACAUUAUCAAACUAUUCACUAAGGUUCCAACCAGCUAAUUAAAAUCCUAACACUCAAAUCAUAAAAUAAAAUUCUUAAAUGUGGCCAGGUGCAAUGGCUAAUGCCUGUAAUCCCAGAACUUCGGGAGGCCGAGAUUACGGGCAUGAGCCACCACAACCAGUGGCCCCUGAAUUUUUGACUGACCCAUUCUAAGCCUAUAUACAAUCCCAUUUAUUUAUUUUAUUUUAUUUUUUUCGGGGGGACGAAGUCUAGCUCUUCUACCCAGGCUGGAUUACAAUGGCGUGAUCUUGGCUCAUUGCAACCUCCACCUCCCGGGUUCAAGCG
rnacentral:lncRNA from 1 species